UGAGGCAGCAGCCAAGCAGCACCAAGUUCCUGUGUAAGCAGGGAAUAACUCCUGUCAGAGCAAGGUCCCGACUGAAGUGGCAGUUGCAGUUGUUCCUGUAGAACUCCAGGAGAGUGGAAGAGGGCAGAACCUGUAAGAAUUACCCCUGAUAUGGGAUCUCUCCUGGUAAGGCCAAGCCAGUAUCCUUUAAAAUCAGAAUACCAGCUUGGAUUGGUUGCAGUAAGAGCUGAAUUUGCUCCUCCUGGUUUGGUUGUAGAAGGUGAAUGCAAGAACCUACCAAGAAAACCAAUGGCCAAGGGGAUUGAUGAGUGCAGGACGUGAGAGAACCCCCUGAAAUGACAACCUGGAGUAGUUUGCAGUCUUAGAUUGAAAAGAUGGCCUUUGCUGCAUGUCCUGGAGCGAGGAAAGCCAAGAAACCUUUGCUUUUGCAGGAGAAAAUGGGGGAAGCGGGAAGGAAGAAGAGAAGCCCUGUGACUCCUCCCUGAGCCCCAGACAGCCCAGGAACUGCCUCCCUGGGAAUGGUGGCACGGGCUGGACUCUGGAUUGCUCCCUCUGGAUGUGUGGUAAGACUGUGAUGCCAACUUUUCCAAGAGCCUGUAAGAAUUUGCUACCUUGGCUAGAUGGUGCAAGGGCAGCCUUUAAGCAGCUGAAGCCUUCCCUGAGGAGAGCUCUGGGUCUGCCAGAUGUCUCAGAACUGUUGGCAGCAUCUUUGGUGGGGAGGGCAAAGAAAGGCCAAGGUGUGCAGUGACCCCCCUGAGAAGGGACUUUGAGUUCAUGGCAUCCCUGAUGGUGACCUUUGUGGGCUGUUCCCCCUGUAGGGCAGGUGAUAGUCCCAGCUACAGUGAUGGGAAAAAUGGUUAAAAGGGAGCCCCAAAAGCUGGAAAUCCUCCUGGAGGGUCUUGACCAAGAGAGUUUUCUGAGUUCCCCCUGACAGAAGGACAGUGAUAGCUUUUGUGUGCUAGUAGAUCCUUUGAAUAGAUAGCCUUGAGUGUGUCCUUGUUGCCCCAGUAGGCCUUGUCCAACUCCCCAUAUUUCAGGUGAUACACAUACUAAAGUUUAAACUGGUCUUCCUAAUCCUUUGUUGGCUUGAGGCUCUCCCCUGCAGGAACUGCAGGAACUCCUGGUGCCGCCUGGGCCGAUGGAUUGGACGCCCCAGCCCCUCCGUUCCUGCCCAGCCACUGGGGCCGUGUCGAGUGGUGGCACUGCCAGCCCUGCAGGUGAAGGGGAAAGGGCCUUUGCAGGUCUUGUGGGUCACAUUUAUAGCAGGUAAAGUUGCAG